GGGGAAUAUUGCGCAAUGGGGGAAACCCUGACGCAGCAAUACCACGUGAGUGAAGAAGGUUUUCGGAUCGUAAAGCUCUGUUAUUGGGGAAGAAAAAAAGACGGUACCCAAGAAGAAAGUCCCGGCUAACUACGUGCCAGCAGCCGCGGUAAUACGUAGGGGACAAGCGUUGUCCGGAUUUACUGGGCGUAAAGGGCACGCAGGCGGUUUUUUAAGUCAGAUGUGAAAGGUACCGGCUCAACCGGUGACAUGCAUUUGAAACUGAAAGAUUUGAGUGUUGGAGAGGCAAGUGGAUUUCCUAGUGUAGGGGAAAAAGGCGUAGAUAUGAGGAGGAACACCGGUGGCGAAGGCGGCUUGCUGGACAAAUACUCACGCGGAGGUGCGAAGGCGUGGGGAGCAAACA
rnacentral:rRNA from 1 species